rnacentral:rRNA from 1 species
CCUACGGGAGGCAGCAGUGGGGAAUAUUGCACAAUGGGGGAAACCCUGAUGCAGCGACGCCGCGUGAGUGAAGAAGUAAUUCGUUAUGUAAAGCUCUAUCAGCAGGGAAGAAAAUGACGGUACCUGAGUAAGAAGCCCCGGCUAACUACGUGCCAGCAGCCGGGGUAAUACGUAGGGGGCAAGCGUUAUCCGGAUUUACUGGGUGUAAAGGGAGCGUAGACGGCAGUGCAAGUCUGGGGUGAAAGGCGGGGCUCAACCCCCGGACUGCUCUGGAAACUGGACGGCUGGAGUGCAGGAGAGGUAUGUGGAAUUCGUAGUGUAGCGGUGAAAUGCGUAGAUAUUAGGAGGAACACCAGUGGCGAAGGCAGCUUACUGGAGUGUAACUGACGUUGAGGCUCGAAAGCGUGGGGAGCGAACAGGAUUAGAUACCCGGGUAGUC